GGGGAAUAUUGCACAAUGGGGGAAACCCUGAUGCAGCGACGCCGCGUGGAGGAAGAAGGUCUUCGGAUUGUAAACUCCUGUUGUUGAGGAAGAUAAUGACGGUACUCAACAAGGAAGUGACGGCUAACUACGUGCCAGCAGCCGCGGUAAAACGUAGGUCACAAGCGUUGUCCGGAAUUACUGGGUGUAAAGGGAGCGCAGGCGGGAAGACAAGUUGGAAGUGAAAUCUAUGGGCUCAACCCAUAAACUGCUUUCAAAACUGUUUUUCUUGAGUAGUGCAGAGGUAGGCGGAAUUCCCGGUGUAGCGGUGGAAUGCGUAGAUAUCGGGAGGAACACCAGUGGCGAAGGCGGCCUACUGGGCACCAACUGACGCUGAGGCUCGAAAGUGUGGGUAGCAAACAGGAUUAGAUACCCUGGUAGUCCACACCGUAAACGAUGAUUACUAGGUGUUGGAGGAUUGACCCCUUCAGUGCCGCAGUUAACACAAUAAGUAAUCCACCUGGGGAGUACGACCGCAAGGUUGAAACUCAAAGGAAUUGACGGGGGCCCGCACAAGCAGUGGAGUAUGUGGUUUAAUUCGACGCAACGCGAAGAACCUUACCAAGUCUUGACAUCCUGCGACGGACAUAGAAAUAUGUUUUUCCUUCGGGACGCAGAGACAGGUGGUGCAUGGUUGUCGUCAGCUCGUGUCGUGAGAUGUUGGGUUAAGUCCCGCAACGAGCGCAACCCUUACUGUCAGUUACUACGCAAGAGGACUCUGGCAGGACUGCCGUUGACAAAACGGAGGAAGGUGGGGAUGACGUCAAAUCAUCAUGCCCUUUAUGACUUGGGCUACACACGUACUACAAUGGCGUUAAACAAAGAGAAGCAAGACCGCGAGGUGGAGCAAAACUCAGAAACAACGUCCCAGUUCGGACUGCAGGCUGCAACUCGCCUGCACGAAGUCGGAAUUGCUAGUAAUCGUGGAUCAGCAUGCCACGGUGAAUACGUUCCCG
rnacentral:rRNA from 1 species